CCGAGACGAUGCGCUGUUGUGCUUGGUAUGGCUUUCGCAGGUAAUGGGUCCAAUAUCGCGAACAGUACACUGAGACUACCUCUGGGGCGCGCAUGCCGUGCGUCCUAGGGUUACACUCUGCGAGAAGCGACAAACAGGACAACCAUGGGGACCUUUAUAAUGUGCUAGGUUUUUACGUAUAUAGCUUGGACUGACUUGGACUUGAAGAACCAUUCAUCGAUUUCUCUCAAUAGCUUCUGCCCUGAUCAUGGCUUAUCAUCUCUUCCAGCUACAGCCGUGACGCAUCCCACUAUGAAAACCCAACAACGGCAAGCUUCGUAGACGCACGAAUUUGGAAUGCCCGCCAAGUGCCUCCCUCGUCAAAAGCCAGACAUACCUUUCUCCGAGCUUAUCUAAUCACCACUCUAUUCUUGCAUACUGCUAUCGGCCUGCUAUUGAAGAACACUUCAUUGUGUAGCCGGAGAAUGUCAAUAGAACGAAGGGUAUGAAAUGUACAGAACUGCAAUAAGCUCUUAUGCAAUAGACGGAGAAGAAGCCAACUUCGGUAAUAUCACGAACUCAUAAAACACCGGUCGACUUGUUUAAAGGGCAAUCCAUCCAGACUGAGGUCUCACAGCACAGGAGGAGGUGUUACAAGCACUCCAAACAUGAAGAUCCUGGUGUUUCUGCUCGUGGUCAUCACUGCAGCUUACGUCGUGAAUGCAGCUCCUGAUGAGUACCACCCACACAUAGACAGAAAUCAACCGAUACCGACCGUCUCCCCUGGCGCACGAGCCCCACAGCCUUCCGGAUCCCAUGACGGCGACGACUAUCAUCCAAACAUACCCAGAGACAAGUAAAACCUUGAGAACCGAUCCUGCCUGUGCGCUGGGACUCAACCACAGAACAGGAUGGCGCCGCCUAGAGCAUGUCGCAACUGCACGACACAAACCGCCGCGACCGGAAUUUGUGUACUGUAUACCUGCACGUGACAUAUUAAAUGUUAUACUAGUCUA